UACGGGGGGCAAGCGGUUGUUCGGAAUUACUGGGCGUAAAGGGCUCGUAGGCGGCCAACUAAGUCGGACGUGAAAUCCCUCGGCUUAACCGGGGAACUGCGUCCGAUACUGGAUGGCUAGAGUUCGGGGAGAGGGAUGCGGAAUUCCAGGUGUAGCGGUGAAAUGCGUAGAUAAUCUGGAGGAACACCGGUGGCGAAGGCG
rnacentral:rRNA from 1 species